AUGUUUAUUAAUACAAGAUUAGAGUUAGCAAAAUAUAUAUGUGAGAAAGGUGAUAAAUGUGAACUAGAAAAUCCUUUGUAUAAUGAAGUAUUAAGAACAGAACAAUUAGAAUUAAUAGCUAGUUUGUCUAAAUUACAAUAUAAUGUAAUAGGUGCUAAAUUAUUAGCUAUGUUUUAUGAAUUAAAAAAUAAUCAUGAAAAUAAUUUAAUAAAUAAAGAUGUUUUUAUUGAACAAACUACUUGGUUAGUUUUUAUCAUUUCAUCUAUUAUUUCAACAAGUGCAAUUAGUAAUAUUAAAAAUUUAGGACAUGAUAAUUUUAAAAUAAAUUCAGAAUUAUGUUUUUUAGUUUUUUCAUUAAUGGAACAAACUAAUAAAUCUAAUGAAGUAUUUGAAUAUUUAGAAUUUGCAUAUUUAAAUUGUUUAGAACUUUUUAAAAAGGUUUAUAUAAGUGGUAAAAAAAAUAAUAAUUUUUUAAAAGAAAUGAGACAAAUUGCAUUACGUAUAGUUUCUUCUUCUAAUUUUUUAACAAAUAGUAUAAACGAUGCAAGUGCUACUGGUAGUUCCACUCAUUCUAUAAAUAAUUUAAACAAUAAUGUAAAUCUUGUGAAUAGUUUGAAUAAUUUAAACAAUACAGAUAACUCUUUGUCAAUAAAUAUGAUAAAUAAUUUCAAUGCUAGUAAUAAUAAUAGUUCUUCUAAUUUGAAUAGUAAUAACAACACUGUUAAUUUGAAUAACACAUUAAAUAGUACUACCUGUAGUAAUAAUAGUACCAACAACGAUUUAUCUUUUUUAUGUUUAGGGGGAAGUAACAAUAAUAUUAGUAGUAGUCUUACUGCUGAUGGAACAGGGGCAGAUGCAUUAUCUAAUAGUAACCAAAACAGUACAAAUAACAACAAUAAUCGAAAUAGUCGAUCAGGUUUUAGUACACCUUCUUUAAUUACUAAUAAACAUGAUGAAGAGAAUAAUGAUCCGUUAAUCGAUUUAAUUAUAAGUAAAAUUUUAUUUAAUUUAAACAAUAGAAUUGAACAUGAACAGUUAAUAAAAAGAAGUCUAUUUUUAUUUCAUGAUUUAGUUUCUGGUAUGAAUAUUGUUUGUUUAGAAGAUAAAACACCAAAAUUAAUUGUAUUUGCUAGAUUAUUAUUAAAAAAUGGAAAAAUAUUAAAAUUAAUAAAUACAAGAGAUACUAAAUUUUUAGAAAUUUCUAAAUAUUAUAAAUAUAGAACAACUUAUUAUUUAAUAAUAACAAAAUUAUUAUUUAUGGAAAAAGGUAAUACAUCUCUUUCAUUUGAUAAAUAUAUUGCUCCUAUAAAUAAUUUAUUAGAAUGUAUAAAAAGAGAAAUUGAAAUGAAUGGAAAAGAAAUCAUUUUAAAAAAUACAGCAAUCAAAUUAUCACUUAUUGGUGUUUUACGAGAUUUGAGAGGUAUUUGUAUGGCAUGUAAUAAUGUUGAUAAUUAUAUGACUUUUUUAAAUUUUUUAUUAAUAGUUAUCCACUAG
rnacentral:lncRNA from 1 species